CUGUCUGUUAUAGGAAAUUAAUAAAUAUUUAAGGACCUUGGUGCUCAACAAAACUACUCAUCAUCAGGAAAAUGCAAAUCAAAACCACAAUGAGAUACCACCUGGCACCUGUCAGAAUCGCCAUCCUCAAAAAGACCUUUUCCUGUGUGUCUAUACCCACGUGCACAUGUGCAUACUGACAGAAACAGCGUUUUAAAACCAGGUAUAAAUCACAUCACAUUAUACAUAAUGCGGGCGACCCGGUGCUUCUCUUCGUAACUCUUGCGCGCUUUCUGCCUCCUUCCCUUAAACAGCUCAACUACAUGACGGGACACUUCCACCGCGGCCCUUCCCAGAUGAACUGCCCCCCACUGUCACCCACCAGGAGCUGCACUGGCGCAGCCCUCUGUGCACUUUCGAUCCGGUCAGAUGCCACCAAAGUGCCCUCUAAAAAGGGCACACCAGUGUACACAUCCAGCAUGGGGGGAAGAGAGGGCUCAUUGCACACGUCCCCACAAAUACUUGUUGCUCAAGUCAACACACGAUGGGAUGCCCAGCACCACGGACCAAGCAACUUCUCGAGGAUGCGGAAUCUUAAAACACUCAUUUGAAGAUAAAACUGUGGUCCUGAGAAUUUAGCAGAGGACCAAAACAGAUAAAGUGACAGUCUUCUCUGCAGAUAAUUAUCUAUUUUUUAAAUGCCUCAUUUAAGAAAGUAUCUUUAUAUCUGGAUUAUGCUCAAAGUAAGUUGAUCUAAACAUCAGGGUUACAUUUUAUUUAUGGGAAGUCCAAGGUAUACAAGUUAAGCAAAUGUACUCUUACAGUUAAAAUGAGAUGAUUUUUUUCCUUAGAUUAUAGUAGUGGCAUUUAAAAUUUUUAAUAGGCAAGAAUUAGAAAAAGCAUUAACAAGAUAAAUAUGAAAAUAUCUCCCAACUUCCAUUUUGGUAAAAAUGGUGUAACCAUUCAAAAUCAAUCAAGGUCUUUCUUCCAACAUGUCGGACAGCGGGGAGUGGGUGCUAUUCUGGUCAAUGGGCAGUGGUUUGUUCUGGAAACAGCUGGACGCUGGCUGUGUCUCCUGCCUUGUGUGUAAAGGAGAGAGGGGCACAGGAUAAAGAGGGCAGAGAGCAAGGAGUGCAAGCACACGGGCGGCAGCGUUACUCCAGGAGGCCCAAGACAGCCUACAGGGAGGUGGGCACCGCGAAUACGGCCAGGCGUCAAGCCUGACACAAAGCUGUUUCUCUCUGAUGUUACACAGAAGUGGCGAACUUCAGGCAAGGGCACAGGAGGCGGGAAGGAAUUCUGCAGCUGCCAGGAACAGCAAGGCAUCACUCCCACCACGGAUCUCUGGAACCUGCAGCUCAGAAGCCAUCAGGCCUGAGACACGCGUCGGUCUUCACUACAAAGUAAGCUCUCAAAGGACACGGAUCUCUGAUCGUCUACUGAUUCCCCCAAACCACCUGGAACAGUGCGAGGUACUCAAUGAACAGCCCUUGGAAGAAGCGCACGUCAAAGCAACGGCGUGAAGCUAGGAGGCCCUGUGAUAGCGUCCCGAAGCAAGGGACCCGCGCACGGCUGAGAAAAACAAGCACCUUUAUUAUCCACUAAGAACCGCGUAUUCAUGUACUGGCUGCACUGUGCGGCACGCAGGAUCCCAGCUCCCUGACCAGGGGUCGAACCCACACCCCCUGCAGCGGGGGCGCAGAGCCCCAGCCACUGGGCCACCAGGGUAUCGCCAGGAGUCACUUCUUAGAAGGCUCGUUUCUAGGCAACCUUGGUAUUUCCUUCCCCCUUUCUUUCCCGAGGUUGCGCCUCAAGCUCUGGGAUAGGAGGACCCUUUCUUCCUGGAGCCCGAAGCCCUGCUGAGGGCCCAGAGACACUUGCCGGCUGCCUCUCCACUUCGCUAACCACUGCAGGACCACAGAUUAACUCUUUGUAUUGCAAAAGACACCUGUAGCUAACAGUGUACGUUACAACGAAACAAAAUCAGCAGAAAAACCUAACAAAACUAUUUUGAGUGAA